GACGAACGCUGGCGGCGUGCUUAACACAUGCAAGUCGAACGAUGAUUACAAGAGUUGAUGCUCCGGCGGAAGUCUAUUUUUGUUUGUUGGCGGACGGGUAAUUACCCCUUGACAACCUUACCUCUUACGAAGGGAUACCCCCGGAAACCCCUGAUUAAUCCCAUAUAACAUUUCAACUCAGCUUUUCUAUUCGAUCAAUGCUAAGUCGGUAAUGGAUGGGCUCGCGUUCCAUUUACCAGAUGGUAAGGUAACAGCCCACCAUAGUAACGAUUGGUAACCGGACUGAGAGGGUGGACGGUCACACUGGAACUGAGACACGGUCCAGACUCCUACGGGAGGCAGCAGUGGGGGAUAUUGCACAAUGGAGGGAACUCUGAUGCAGCGACGCCGCGUGAGUGAUGAAGGAAUUCGUUACGUAAAACUCUAUUAUAAGGGAAGAAAAGGACGGUACCAGAGGAGAAAGCCCCGGCUAAAUACGUG
rnacentral:rRNA from 1 species